GGGGAAUUUUGGACAAUGGGCGAAAGCCUGAUCCAGCCAUGCCGCGUGCAGGAUGAAGGCCUUCGGGUUGUAAACUGCUUUUGUACGGAACGAAACGGCCUUUUCUAAUAAAGAGGGCUAAUGACGGUACCGUAAGAAUAAGCACCGGCUAACUACGUGCCAGCAGCCGCGGUAAUACGUAGGGUGCAAGCGUUAAUCGGAAUUACUGGGCGUAAAGCGUGCGCAGGCGGUUAUGUAAGACAGUUGUGAAAUCCCCGGGCUCAACCUGGGAACUGCAUCUGUGACUGCAUAGCUAGAGUACGGUAGAGGGGGAUGGAAUUCCGCGUGUAGCAGUGAAAUGCGUAGAUAUGCGGAGGAACACCGAUGGCGAAGGCAAUCCCCUGGACCUGUACUGACGCUCAUGCACGAAAGCGUGGGGAGCAAACAGGAUUAGAUACCCUGGUAGUCCACGCCCUAAACGAUGUCAACUGGUUGUUGGGUCUUCACUGACUCAGUAACGAAGCUAACGCGUGAAGUUGACCGCCUGGGGAGUACGGCCGCAAGGUUGAAACUCAAAGGAA
rnacentral:rRNA from 1 species